rnacentral:tRNA from 1 species
UCUCGAGUAGCUCAGUCGGUUAGAGCAUCUGACUGUUAAUCAGAGGGUCGCUGGUUCGAGCCCAGCCUCGAGAG